GGCCACUCUGCCCACAGCACAUGACACCUUCCGGUUGGAGUUACCCACGAUAUAAUCCAGCCUGCACGCUGGAGCAGACUGCUGAAGUUGAGGAUGGAUGUCAGAGAAUGCUGAAUUCCCAGAGGUCUAAACUGAAAGAUGACUUUCUUCAACAGCUGGAAGGAAGGUUUGGGAGGCCUUAUUUGGGACUGAUAGAAGAGGUAAGCAGCUGAGAAGCCAGGAGGCCAGUGAUGAGGUUUCCAUCAUCCAAAAGGGAAAGAAUAGAACCUGGUGGUGGCCUGGAGAUGUGUGAGUAAGAAAAAAUCUGAAGCUGCCUGGGAGCUGCCUGGCAGAAGCCAAUGACAGAUUGGAAGGGGGAGGAGAAAAGGUCAUGGUGGAGUCAAGGAUGACUGGAGUUCCCUGCCUGAGGAAAGAACUGAUGGCUGUGUUUUAGUUGCCAAGACAACAAGCCCAAAUGGCAGCCAGAGAGGUGACAGAGUCUCUCUCUGGGAUUCUCCCACUCUUGGUUAUGCAGCGCAGAACUGAUCUUCCACUUAAAGAACAAUGUGCUAUUCUGCUAUGUGAGGUGUGUUUAUCACCUGAAAAGACUCACCUCCAGUUGUACCAGAAUGCUGUAGGUUGCAAUCAUGCUUCAGAAACACAUAUUUUUCAGCAUUGUUAAUGGAAACAAACAUCUGAAACACCUAAUCCAAACCCAUUCGUAGGAAAGAGAAAUAAAAACAUUCCAACCCUUAG
rnacentral:lncRNA from 1 species